GAUGAACGCUGGCGGCGUGCCUAAUACAUGCAAGUCGAGCGAAGCGGGGACGGGUGAGUAACACGUGGAUAACCUCCUAUAAGACUGGGAUAACUCCGGGAAACCUUAGCUAUACCGGAUACUUACCUAUGGAUCCUCGCUGCAUUAGCUAGUUGGUAAGGUCACGGCUUACCAAGGCAACGAUGCAUAGCCGACCUGAGAGGGUGAUCGGCCACACGGGAACUGAGACAGGGUCCAGACUACUACGGGAGGCAGCAGUAGGGAAUCUUCCGCAAUGGGCGGAAGCCUGACGGAGCAACGCCGCGUGAGUGAUGAAGGUCUUCGGAGCGUAAAACUCUGUUAUUAGGGAGGCGGUACCUAAUGAGAAAGCAACGGCUAACUACGUGCCAGCAGCCGCGGUAAUUC
rnacentral:rRNA from 1 species